UUUCCGUAGGUGAACCUGCGGAAGGAUCAUUACUGAGUGAGGGCCCCUCGGGGUCCAACCUCCCACCCGUGUUUAACGAACCUUGUUGCUGCGGCGGGCCCGCCUCACGGCCGCCGGGGGGCAUUUGCCCCCGGGCCCGCGCCCGCCGAAGCCACCUGUGAACGCUGUCUGAAGUAUGCAGUCUGAGACAAUUAUUAAAUUAAUUAAAACUUUCAACAACGGAUCUCUUGGUUCCG
rnacentral:misc_RNA from 1 species